GCGAUGAGAGUAGCGCACUGGUGAGUAACACGUGGGAACAUGCCUUUUGGUGGGGGACAACAAGAGGGAAACUUCUGCUAAUACCGCAUAAGCCCUAAGGGGGAAAGAUUUAUUGCCGAAAAGAUUGGCCCGCGGAAGAUUAGGUAGUUGGUGGGUAAAGGCCUACCAAGCCGACGAUCUAUAGCUGGUCUGAGAGGACGAACAGCCACAUUGGAACUGAGACACGGUCCAGACUCCUACGGGAGGCAGCAGUGAGGAAUAGUUGGGCAAUGGAGGAAACUCUGAACCCCCAGCCAUGCCGCGUGAGUGAAGAAGGUUUUCGAAUUGUAAAGCUCUUUCGGAUACGAGGAUGAUGACGGUAGUAUCUAAAGAAGCCCCGGCAAACUUCGUGCCAGCAGCGGC
rnacentral:rRNA from 1 species